GACGAACGCUGGCGGCGUGCUUAACACAUGCAAGUCGAACGGAAAGGCCCUGCUUUUGUGGGGUGCUCGAGUGGCGAACGGGUGAGUAACACGUGAGUAACCUGCCCUUGACUUUGGGAUAACUUCAGGAAACUGGGGCUAAUACCGGAUAGGAGCUCCUGCUGCAUGGUGGGGGUUGGAAAGUUUCGGCGGUUGGGGAUGGACUCGCGGCUUAUCAGCUUGUUGGUGGGGUAGUGGCUUACCAAGGCUUUGACGGGUAGCCGGCCUGAGAGGGUGACCGGCCACCUUGGGACUGAGAUACGGGCCCGAAUCCUACGGGGGGCAGCAGGGGGGGAUUUUGCACAAUGGGCCGAAGCCUUAUGCAGCAACGCCGCGUUCGGGAUGACGGCCUUCGGGUUGGUAACCGCUUUCGCCUGGGACGAAGCGUGAGUUACGGUAAUUGGUAAAGAAGCACCGGCUAACUACGUG
rnacentral:rRNA from 1 species